AAUGAACGCUGGCGGCGCGCCUAAUACAUGCAAGUCGAGCGAGAAGACGUAGCAAUACGUUUGUAAAGCGGCGAACGGGUGAGGAAUACAUGGGUAACCUACCCUCGAGUGGGGAAUAACUAGCCGAAAGGUUAGCUAAUACCGCGUACGCUUCUUGGACUUCGGUUCAGGGAGGAAAGCGAUGCCGAGGGUAUCGCGCUCUUGGAUGGGCUCAUGUCCUAUCAGCUUGUUGGGAGGUAACGGCUCACCAAGGCUUCGACGGGUAGCUGGUCUGAGAGGACGAUCAGCCACACUGGCACUGCGACACGGGCCAGACUCCUACGGGAGGCAGCAGUAAGGAAUAUUGCGCAAUGGGCGAAAGCCUGACGCAGCGACGCCGCGUGGGGGAUGAAGGUCUUCGGAUUGUAAACCCCUUUCGGGAGGGAAGAUGGAAUGGGGUAACCAUUCGGACGUACCUCCAGAGCAGCCACGGCUAACUUCGUGCCAGCAGCCGCAGUAA
rnacentral:rRNA from 1 species